UACGGGGGGGGUAAGCGUUGUUCGGAAUUACUGGGCGUAAAGCGCACGUAGGCGGCUUUGUAAGUUAGAGGUGAAAGCCCGGGGCUCAACUCCGGAAUUGCCUUUAAGACUGCAUCGCUAGAAUUGUGGAGAGGUAAGUGGAAUUCCGAGUGUAGAGGUGAAAUUCGUAGAUAUUCGGAAGAACACCAGUGGCGAAGGCGACUUACUGGACACAUAUUGACGCUGAGGUGCGAAAGCGUGGGGAGCAAACAGG
rnacentral:rRNA from 1 species